rnacentral:rRNA from 1 species
GAGAGCGGCGUACGGGUGCGGAACACGUGUGCAACCUGCCUUUAUCAGGGGGAUAGCCUUUCGAAAGGAAGAUUAAUACCCCAUAAUAUAAUGAGUGGCAUCACUUAUUAUUGAAAACUCCGGUGGAUAGAGAUGGGCACGCGCAAGAUUAGAUAGUUGGUAGGGUAACGGCCUACCAAGUCAGUGAUCUUUAGGGGGCCUGAGAGGGUGAUCCCCCACACUGGUACUGAGACACGGACCAGACUCCUACGGGAGGCAGCAGUGAGGAAUAUUGGACAAUGGGUGAGAGCCUGAUCCAGCCAUCCCGCGUGAAGGACGACGGCCCUAUGGGUUGUAAACUUCUUUUGUAUAGGGAUAAACCUUUCCACGUGUGGAAAGCUGAAGGUACUAUACGAAUAAGCACCGGCUAACUCCGUGCCAGCAGCCGCGGUAAUACGGAGGGUGCAAGCGUUAUCCGGAUUUAUUGGGUUUAAAGGGUCCGUAGGCGGAUCUGUAAGUCAGUGGUGAAAUCUCAUAGCUUAACUAUGAAACUGCCAUUGAUACUGCAGGUCUUGAGUAAAGUAGAAGUGGCUGGAAUAAGUAGUGUAGCGGUGAAAUGCAUAGAUAUUACUUAGAACACCAAUUGCGAAGGCAGGUCACUAUGUUUUAACUGACGCUGAUGGACGAAAGCGUGGGGAGCGAACAGGAUUAGAUACCCUGGUAGUCCACGCCGUAAACGAUGCUAACUCGUUUUUGGGUUUUCGGAUUCAGAGACUAAGCGAAAGUGAUAAGUUAGCCACCUGGGGGAGUACGUUCGCAAGAAUGAAACUCAAAGGAAUUGAC